rnacentral:rRNA from 1 species
CUCGUAGGCGGCCAACUAAGUCCGACGUGAAAUCCCAAGGCUUAACCUUGGAACUGCGUCGGAUACUGGAUGGCUUGAAUUCGGGAGAGGGAUGCAGAAUUCCAGGUGUAGCGGUGAAAUGCGUAGAUAUCUGGAGGAAUACCGGUGGCGAAGGCGGCAUCCUGGACCGACAUUGACGCUGAGGAGCGAAAGCUAGGGGAGCAAACG